CCGUUAAGCCUAAAUAUUCCCUGGUGACCGAUAGCGGAUAGUACCGUGAGGGAAUGGUGAAAAGUACCGCGGGAGCGGAGUGAAAUAGUACCUGAAACCGUGUGCCUACAAGCCGUGGGAGCGUCGGGGGUCGGACUUGUCCGGCUCCUCGUGACUGCGUGCCUUUUGAAGAAUGAGCCUGCGAGUUUGCGGUGUGUUGCGAGGUUAACCCGUGUGGGGAAGCCGUAGCGAAAGCGAGUCCGAAUAGGGCGAUUUAGUAGCGCGCUCAAGACCC
rnacentral:rRNA from 1 species